CGAUAGAAAUGAUUCAGACAGGUACGAUCGCACCUGUUGAUAUUUAAUUUCACGUCAACAGCGAUCAGCCAUUUUAUUUGCGAGGGAAUUGGCAUGGUCUGACAUGUGCUACAAGGUUAGGUGUAAGAAAUGUCAACGAUUCACCUGGACAGGGUGCGGAAGGCACAUAGAGCUAGUUUUGGAAGAUAUUCCGGUGGAGGAAAGGUGUCAGUGUAAAAAAUCAGGGAAAUGUACAAUAUUAUAGUAUCUUAUGUGGAUAUGCAGUCAUAUAACAGUGGAAGAGAAGAAUCUCAAUAAUUAUGCAAGUUUACUCUUAAGUUGAACACCUGCCCUUUUCUUGCAUAUUUUAACAGUAUGUGCCAAAUUCAUUAUAACUCAUAUAAACUUAUACAAUUCUUUAUUCAUAUAUAGGCCUUUUGAAGGUAUAUUUGCAUUUUUUUUUGCAUAUGAAAAUUUUAAUUAUAUUUUCCUGUUGUUGAUUUUUUUUUACAUAGUAAAGGUAUUUCUUGUUUGGUCCAAAAACGGCCUUGUAAAGUUAACAGGAAUUAUUUUAACCUUUUCUUUGGAAGAAUGUUCAAAUUGUCAUAUAGAAGAUUUUUUAUCAUUUGGUAUAAAAUAUAAAAUGAAUAAUGUAAACACCUUUAUGCACACACACUAUACUAUCUGAGAGCUAAAAUUCAAAAUACAUUUGAAUAAUUCAUGUGACAUUUUAUUAUAAUUUUGGUGCUUUAUUAGUCUUUUAUUGUGGUUUUAAUUUUGUAAGAUAUGCAUCUAUACGACAUGCAUUAAGGUGUAUUUUCAAAGUCACAAAAGUUUAUUUUGCAUAUUGUGUAACUGUAUACAUUGUACAUGUAUCCAACCAAAUAAAUGAUGCAUUCAUGAUGGAACAUCUUUAGACAACCUUAAAGCCACCAUUCCUUUUUUUUGAGGUGGGGGGGGGGCUGAUGAUUUUUCAGAAGGGGUCGGGGUCUAGGUGAAUAGAGUUGUUUCUCUAUCAUAUUGUCAAAUAGUUGCCACAGCUAUAUAUAGAUGAAAAACUUUGACUUUAAAAUAAUAUUUAAAAAUAAUGUUUAAAAAAAUUUGGUAGAGAUGAUUUUUAUGAGUCAGUCAGAGUACGUACAUCAGACAAAUAAUUUUUUUUAUUGUUGGCCGCAGGUUCAAAAAUUUUUCCACGUGGCUACAUGCAUUUAUAUGUCUUCUGUUGUUGUUACUGUAACUUAAAGGUAGAAUAGUUUAAAAUCUAGAGCAAGUCAAUAUUGGUUUUACCAGACAUUCAAUGUAUUAAGUAUUCCCCCACAGCAUUGUCCAAAGUGUUAUUUUUCAGCAUUAUUUCUCAAAUUUCACUUCGGGGAGAUGUCCUAAUUUGAGACCUGUAUUCUCCUAUACUAUACACUCCUCCUGGUUGAUGGCACUUUUAAAUUUUUUUUUCUUUCAUUUUGAUUUGCGACAGCCCAAGGCAAAAAAAAAAAAUUCAAAUGACAAGACACACACAGGUAUCGUUUGCCAAUGUGUAACUGUAUUUUCUCAAGGUCAUGC